ACGGGAGGCAGCAGUGGGGAAUAUUGCACAAUGGGGGAAACCCUGAUGCAGCGACGCCGCGUGAGUGAAGAAGUAUUUCGGUAUGUAAAGCUCUAUCAGCAGGGAAGAUAAUGACGGUACCUGACUAAGAAGCCCCGGCUAACUACGUGCCAGCAGCCGCGGUAAUACGUAGGGGGCAAGCGUUAUCCGGAUUUACUGGGUGUAAAGGGAGCGUAGACGGCAUGGCAAGCCAGAUGUGAAAGGCAGGGGCUCAACUCCUGGACUGCAUUUGGAACUGUCAAGCUAGAGUAUCGGAGAGGUAAGUGGAAUUCCUAGUGUAGCGGUGAAAUGCGUAGAUAUUAGGAGGAACACCAGUGGCGAAGGCGGCUUGCUGGACGAUAACUGACGUUGGGGCUCGAAAGCGUGGGGAGCAAACAGGAUUAGAUACCCUGGUA
rnacentral:rRNA from 1 species